rnacentral:rRNA from 1 species
CGGAGAGGGAGCAUGAGAAACGGCUACCACUUCUAAGGAAGGCAGCAGGCGCGCAAAUUACCCAUUCUCGGCACGAGGAGGUAGUGACGAAAAAUACCAAGCUGGGCUCCAUUGGGUUCCGGCAUUGGAAUGAGAACAAUAUAAAUCUUUUAACGAGGAUCUAGUGGAGGGCAAGUCUGGUGCCAGCAGCCGCGGUAAUUCCAGCUCCGCAAGUGUAUAUCUAUGUUGCUGCGGUUAAAAAGCUCGUAGUUGGAUCUGCGUGUUUAGCGUCCGGUUCAACUUUUGGUUGUUACCGGAACGCGACACAGAUGUGCUGGUUUGGUGUUGAUGCUCUUAACCGGGUGUCAGCGUCGGCUAGCGAGUUUACUUUGAAAAAAUUAGAGUGCUCAAAACAGGCGUUUCGCCUGAAUAUUUCUGCAUGGAAUAAUAGAAUAGGACUUCGAUUCUAUUCUGUUGGUUUUCGGAAUGCGAAGUAAUGAUUAAGAGGGACAGACGGGGGCAUUCGUACUGCGACGUUAGAGGUGAAAUUCUUGGAUCGUCGCAAGACGUACUACUGCGAAGGCAUUUGCCAAGAAUGUUUUCAUUAAUCAAGAACGAAAGUUAUGGGUUCGAAGGCGAUCAGAUACCGCCCUAGUCAUAACCGUAAACGAUUCAAACUGGGCGCCCGUCGGUGUUUUUAUUGACCCGACGGGAACCCUCCCGGAAACGAAAGUGUUCGUGUUCCGGGGGAAAUAUGUCUGCAAAGAGGAAACUUAAAGGAAUUGACGGAAGGGCACCACCAGGGGUGGAGCCUGCGGCUUAAUUUGACUCAACACGGGGAAACUCACCCGGCCCGGACACCGUAAGGAUUGACAGAUUGAGAGCUCUUUCUUGAUUCGGUGGGUGGUGGUGCAUGGCCGUUCUUAGUUGGUGGAGUGAUUUGUCUGGUUUAUUCCGAUAACGAACGAGACUCUGGCCUGCUAACUAGUGUUCAGAUCUUUACGUCUGCUUCGCUUCUUAGAGGGACAGGCGGCUUCCAGCCGCAUGAAAAAGAGCAAUAACAGGUCUGUGAUGCCCUUAGAUGUCCGGGGCUGCACGCGCGCUACACUGAAAGAAUCAGCGUGUACGUUACCUGGCUCGAAAGAGUCGGGUAAUCCGGUGAAAAUCUUUCGUGAUUGGGAUCGGGACUUGCAAUUAUUUCCCUUGAACGAGGAAUCCCUAGUAAGUGCGGGUCAUCAGCUCGCGCUGAUUACGUCCCUGCCCUUUGUACACACCGCCCGUCGCUGCCCGGAACUGAGCCGUUUCGAGAAACAUGGAGACUGUCUACUUGAGGUCCUCACGGACUUUCUGUAGAUGGAAACCGCUUUAAUCGCAGCGGCUUGAACCGGGCAAAAGUCGUAACAAGGUAACC